rnacentral:piRNA from 1 species
GGCCUAUGUGGAACGGAUGAACU